rnacentral:rRNA from 1 species
UACGUAGGUGGCAAGCGUUGUCCGGAAUUAUUGGGCGUAAAGCGCGCGCAGGCGGUUCCUUAAGUCUGAUGUGAAAGCCCACGGCUCAACCGUGGAGGGUCAUUGGAAACUGGGGAACUUGAGUGCAGGAGAGGAGAGUGGAAUUCCUGGUGUAGCGGUGAAAUGCGCAGAUAUCAGGAAGAACACCCGUGGCGAAAGCGGCUCUCUGGAACGGUACUGACGCUGAGACGCGAAAGCGUGGGGAGCGAACAGG